rnacentral:rRNA from 1 species
AUUGAACGCUGGCGGCAUGCCUUACACAUGCAAGUCGAACGGCAGCACGGGAGCAAUCCUGGUGGCGAGUGGCGAACGGGUGAGUAAUAUAUCGGAACGUGCCCAGUCGUGGGGGAUAACGUAGCGAAAGCUACGCUAAUACCGCAUACGAUCUAUGGACGAAAGCGGGGGAUCGCAAGACCUCGCGCGAUUGGAGCGGCCGAUAUCAGAUUAGGUAGUUGGUGAGGUAAAGGACUCACCAAGCCGACGAUCUGUAGCUGGUCUGAGAGGACGACCAGCCACACUGGGACUGAGACACGGCCCAGACUCCUACGGGAGGCAGCAGUGGGGAAUUUUGGACAAUGGGCGCAAGCCUGAUCCAGCAAUGCCGCGUGCAGGAUGAAGGCCUUC